UCGUUGAUUCUUUUAUCAUCCUUCUCCUUCUAGUUUCUAGUUGCUAUUGUGAUGAUCAAGUUUCUUUUAGAUCAUUUGUUCAAUGCUGAAAUGCUAAACUUGUGAAUCUGAAAAAACAAAACAACUACAAACUUGUUUAUUAAAAACAUCAUAGAUCUUCAUGUGAAGGUUACACUUGAGUAUCAAAUUCCUCUUGAGGAUGGUCUUGAAUAGAAAUAAAGUAAAUUCUGAAAAACAAAAACUGAUUAAAAAUGUCGGGUUUCCUCCCAUCUAGCGCUUAUUUUCCG
rnacentral:lncRNA from 1 species